GAUUCUUAAAGGAGGAGGAAAUCCAGCAACAGCAGGAGUUGAUCUUGAGGCACUAUUAAAAUGCACUUAAAAAAGAAAGAAGCCUGCUGACCUUAACAAGUUGCUCAAAAUGCCAGGAAUUCAAGAAUAUCAAAGAGCUGUCUGUAGAACUAUUAUUAUCUUUUUCUUUUUUCCCUCCAGUAAAUUUGCUGCCUAGAAAUGUUGCUAUCCUAUCACAGAUGCCAAUGAGCCCUUUACGAUGGUGCAUUCCUGGUCACCCAGCAUAAGUAUAGAGGCAAAAGCCACCUCCAAUUAUAGUAUGGCAGCCACUGCACCACUGAACCCAAUCCAUUGCAUCACCUCUUUUUAAGACUUGGGCAACCGGCACAGCUUUGGAAAAAAUACAAACAAUCUGCAAGAGAUGAGUGACUCCAGUAUGUGAAGUGGCGGGUGAUGUACUUGUGAGCAACACUGCAGUGCGCCAUAAUGAUGGUGCGGGCUGAAAAUAGAUUUUGCGAGACAAAAUAAAUGUCCCAAAAUGCUCUUAAUUGUAACUUCGUGUUUCAAUCUGCUUUAUUCCUAAUAUUUCAAUCUUCAGAAUUUAAACAGAAGUCUGAGGAAUUUCAGCAGGCACAAGUGAACUGUAUACAGCAAAUCCAUUUGUUGCUCAAGCACAUACAAAAAUGGCUUGGCUUAAGUAUGGCCAAAGUUGUACCAAUAAAGCCUUGGUUUUCCUAUAACAUUUCCUCACCUAUAAUAACAAGCAAAUGAAGAAACUGGGAAUGUGAUAAACGUUUUCACACAAUGGGUUCAGAUCCCAUCUUUCCUCCAAAUUUUGUGAUUUGCCGGUUGUGCUGUUCACAUUUUAUAUAACUGUAUAGCAUAGUGUGCGUGCUUAUGCUUUAAUAACAGAAUCUUACGUAACACCAUUCUUAACAUGCCAUUUUAUUAGAGACUAAACCAACAUGACAGAUGUAGCAUUAGUUGACAGACUACAUCUUGUAUUUGUCCGGGCACUUCAAGAAAUAGGUUGGUCAGAAGCCUCUGCUUUCUGGCAUUCAUAUGCGUGCAGCAGCAGUACAGCAUCAGAUUUAUCAAUUGACUGAUUGAUUGAUUAUUGGGAACUAACGUACCCAAGCAACACUUGGUCAACGAGAGACGCCAGGUGGCCUCUUUAAGAGGCCACCUGGCACUUUUUGAAGGACAACUGUAAUGAAAUUUUACUUUGGCUAAGUGUUAAUAAAUGAAUACCACUGAAGCAAACCUGGCAAAACCCAAAGACAAGCCUCUAUCAGUUCUUGCAUUUCUUGAGAAAAGAGAUACAUGUGGCAGUAUUGCCAGUUUACUAGUAGUGCCCACCUGUAAACAAGGCCUACAGGAGGGCCACGCAGGUGAGCAUCUUGCAGUACCACUGAGUGAUAGAUACUGAGAUAGAAAAAACUUUUCUCAAUGCUCAUAACUCUAAACGUCACAUGCGACAAUGAUUAUAAGGUGCCCAAGUGCGGGCAUUAGUAUGCAGCAGUAAAUUAGGCAAAGCUGGAAUACUUCUAAACUACAGCGGUUGCAGCCACCAUAGAGCAAUGCGAAAAUCAGUUUUGAUGUAAGCCAAGGGUUGGCAGAACUACAGCAAUUUCUUCUAGGACUUGCGUAAGGUUGCAGAACUUGCAGUGCGACACUGGCAGCAUUUUGUUCCACAAAGGUGCAUUUCUUUAAACAUUUUGUCGCUGCCGUACAUGUAUGGCCAUGACCAUUUGGGAUUAGUUUUCGCCACCGUACAUAUACGGUGAUGACCACCAAAGGGUUAAAUAGUGUAUAAGCACACAAUGGGUGCACCUGGUAGUUAGCAGGUACGACAUAAGUUGCAGCAUGUUGCCUCUGAGAUUUUAGGCAUGACAUGCUUUUAGCUCCUGAUGUUGGCGACCUUCCAAGUGACCUUGAGCCAAAAGCCAGAGCCGUUAUCCAGACACGAGAACAUCCGGGCACUCUAAUGAGAAUAU